ACAACAUUCGCACCGUUAGUCUACCGAGCAAUAUUACCCGCUCGUUGGAAGAUCUUCCCUUUGUCGU
rnacentral:pre_miRNA from 1 species